AGCUUUGCACAGUGGCAGUAUCAUAGCCAAUGAGGUUUAUCCGAGGUGCAAUUAUUGCUUAUUGCAAAUUGACAUGUAAUACUUGUAUAUAUUUCUGAGGUGAAACACGACGUUUUGAUAUAUGUACACAUUGUGGAAGAAUUAGAUCAAGCUAAUU
rfam:Otolemur garnettii contig189101, whole genome shotgun sequence.